AUGUGGUCUCACGUGGCCCCGAGCUUCCUGUUUGUAGGACCUAAGAAGAGGACACUGCUGGGUCUUCUCCUGUGCCUGGUGACAGCCCCCCAAGGUGUCCUGUCCCAGGUGCAGCUGCAGGAGUCGGGCCCAGGACUGGUGCAGCCCUCGCAGACCCUGUCCCUCACCUGCACCGUUUCGGGGGGCUCUGUCACCAGCAUUUACUACUGGCAUUGGAUCCGCCAGAGCCCUGGUAAAGGGUUGGAGUGGAUGGGGUACUGGACAGGGAGCACAAGCUACAACCCAGCGUUCCAGGGCCGAAUCCCCAUCACGGCUGACACAUCAAGGAACCAGUUCUCCCUGCAGCUGAGCUCUGUGACUUCCGAGGACACGGCCGUGUAUUACUGUGCGAGGAACACCGGAAGCUCGGACACGAUAGCGGGCUCAGCCUCCUGCUCUGCCCAGGCUCACACCUCAGCCCUGGAGGCAGGAGGAGCACCGUCCGGCCAGUUCUCCACUCCCCCUCCUCUAGGACAGGACCCCCAGGGCAAGGGUCCCUGGAGGGGUGUCCACGCAGAGGACACUGUCUACGUGGAGCCCACACCCAUGGCUCGCUUCUCCUACAACACAGACUCGCUCCCCUACUGCACAGACCUGAGUCCCCCAUAG